rnacentral:rRNA from 1 species
GACGAACGCUGGCGGCGUGCCUAACACAUGCAAGUCGAACGGAACUGUUUUGACAGAUUUCUUCGGAAUGAAUUUGAUUUAGUUUAGUGGCGGACGGGUGAGUAACGCGUGAGUAACCUGCCUUCAAGAGGGGAAUAACAUUCUGAAAAGAAUGCUAAUACCGCAUGACAUAUCGGAACCACAUGGUUUUGAUAUCAAAGAUUUUAUCGCUUGAAGAUGGACUCGCGUCCGAUUAGUUAGUUGGUGAGGUAACGGCUCACCAAGACCGCGAUCGGUAGCCGGACUGAGAGAUUGAACGGCCACAUGGGGACUGAGACACGGCCCAGACUCCUACGGGAGGCAGCAGUGGGGGAUAUUGCGCAAGGGGGGCAACCCUGACGCAGCAACGCCGCGUGAAGGAUGAAGGUUUUCGGAUUGUAAACUUCUUUUAUUAAGGACGAAAAAUGACGGUACUUAAUGAAUAAGCUCCGGCUAACUACGUG